UACGUAGGGUGCGAGCGUUAAUCGGAAUUACUGGGCGUAAAGCGCGGGCAGGCGGCUCGAAACGUCUGAUGUGAAAUCUCCUCGCUCAACGGGGAGAGGCCAUUGGAAACGGUCGAGCUGGAGGGCAGUAGAGGUAGGCGGAAUUCCGGGUGGAGUGGUGAAAUGCGUAGAGAUCCGGAGGAACACCAGAGGCGAAGGCGGCCUACUGGGCUGCACCUGACGCUGAGACGCGAAAGCCAGGGGAGCGAACGGG
rnacentral:rRNA from 1 species